rnacentral:rRNA from 1 species
ACUCCUGCGGGAGGCAGCAGUGGGGAAUUUUGGACAAUGGGCGAAAGCCUGAUCCAGCAAUGCCGCGUGAGUGAAGAAGGCCUUCGGGUUGUAAAGCUCUUUUGUCAGGGAAGAAACGGUGAAAGCUAAUAUCUUUUGCUAAUGACGGUACCUGAAGAAUAAGCACCGGCUAACUACGUGCCAGCAGCCGCGGUAAUACGUAGGGUGCAAGCGUUAAUCGGAAUUACUGGGCGUAAAGCGUGCGCAGGCGGUUUUGUAAGUCUGAUGUGAAAUCCCCGGGCUCAACCUGGGAAUUGCAUUGGAGACUGCAAGGCUAGAAUCUGGCAGAGGGGGGUAGAAUUCCACGUGUAGCAGUGAAAUGCGUAGAUAUGUGGAGGAACACCGAUGGCGAAGGCAGCCCCCUGGGUCAAGAUUGACGCUCAUGCACGAAAGCGUGGGGAGCAAACAGGAUUAGAUACCCGAGUAGUCCCAUGA